rnacentral:rRNA from 1 species
AUGUUUGGGGGUAAGGAUCAACCAAUGUGGAUGUUAACUAAAGAUAGAAAGUUUUCGGUGAAGUCUCUUUAUGAUUUUCUUAUUAAAUCUAAUGUUGGCUUCCCUCACAAGUUUCUGCGGAAAACCAAAACUCCUGCUAAAAUCAAAAUGUUUCUUUGGCUGUUGGCUAGGAAGAGUAUUUUAACUAAGGAUAAUUUGACCAGAAGAGGUUGGAAAGGAAAUAAAAGUUGUGUUUUCUGCGGGAAGGAUGAAUCAAUUGAUUACCUACUUUUUUCUUGCUCUGGUGCUAAAUUGAUGUGGAGCUUGAUUAAAUGCUCUUUUGAUCUUCGAAAUAUCCCACAGAACUUGAAUAAUUGGUUGUUAUCUUGGAUCAAAACAUUCCAGCAAACACAAAGACACCUGGUGAUUGUGGGGGUGGCUGCAAUGUUUUGGUCCAUUUGGAAAUGCAGAAAUGAUGUGAUUUUCAGAUCAAAAAAUUUGAAUGAUCCCAUUGUCAGGAAAAUGUGCAACUGGAUUAUUGACUGGUCUACUUUGCAGAAAAAAACCAGGGGGAGAAAUGCUGAUGCUGGGAGCAAAAAUAAUCAAGCGGGUGGCAAGUGA